rnacentral:lncRNA from 1 species
GACGGAACAAAUAAGUGCUCGAUUUUAAUGGUUUACAAGGUGUGAAAAUAGGUUUUCCUUUGUAAAAACCAGCAAUUAUGAUUGGUGUUUGAGCAUGUUUUUGUUUUCAUCGCCUUCUCUAGCUUCAUCUGCUUGUCUUAAUACUGCUAAUAUUUUCUUCUCUUUUUUUCCUAAACUCCUUUGCCUUGUCUUUUGAGACGAGAUUUUCUAUAAAUCUUGCUAAAUGAUGGAAAAUUUUUAACGUGAGAGGCUUGGUAGAGGUAUCCUGGCAAAACGAUUUGAGGAAUAUCAUAUUGAUGCUCUCGAGUCAGAGUUUGAAAAGUCCCAACACUAAUGAAAAAGAAGGUUGAACUGGUGACUACUACAGAACUGGAUGUGGAGAAAAUUACUAGCUGGUUCAAAAGGAAUUGAGCCCUAAAGCAUGCUAGGAAGUCAAUAGGGGAUUUGAAGCUAACCAAGGCUCAUUAAGAAUCAGCUAAAAAGUCAGUAAGUUAACAAACCGUUGAUCCUCCUAUUCAACUACUUCGACCAUUUUCGAACACUUCCAUCAGGAUAAAUCUGACCCUUUCCCUGUUCUCGCCUACGCAUAUAGGAUAUUUUUUUUAAGAAGUGAACAUCUUUCUUAGUAACAGGUGGGUCAGGGGAACAGUUUUUCGAAUGGAGUAUUGACCUGGAGAUCUCUAUGUUGUUGCCAUGCUACAUAGACAUUUUUCACAUUGAUCAUUUUGUUGGAAAAUCUAAAAAUUUUUAAUAGAAUGAUAAAAA